UACGGAGGGUGCAAGCGUUAAUCGGAAUUACUGGGCGUAAAGCGUGCGCAGGCGGUUUGUUAAGUCCGCUGUGAAAUCCCCGAGCUCAACUUGGGAAUUGCAGUGGAUACUGGCAAGCUGGAGUAUGGUAGAGGAAGGUGGAAUUCCCGGUGUAGCAGUGAAAUGCGUAGAGAUCAGGAGGAACACCGGUGGCGAAGGCGGCCCACUGGGCAGUCACUGACGCUGAGGCGCGAAAGCUCGGGGAGCGAACGGG
rnacentral:rRNA from 1 species